GAGACGGAGUUUCACUUUUGUUGCCCAGGCUGGAGUGCAAUGGCACGAUCUCAGCUCACUGCAACCUCCGCCUCCCGGGUUCAAGCGAUUCUCUUGCCUCAGCCUCCUGAGUAGCUGGGAUUAGAGGCACGUGCCAUCAUGCCUGGCUAAUUUUUGUAUUUUUAGUAGAGAUGGGGUUUCACCAUGUUGUCCAGGCUGGUCUUGAACUCCUGACCUCAGGUGAUCUGCCUGCCUCGGCCUCCCAAAGUGCUAGGAUUACAGGCGUGCACCACGGCGCCCGGCCCAAUGCUAAUUUAAACUUAAAAAUAGAUACUGGCCGGGAGUAAUGGCUUACACCUAUAAUCCCAAUGCUUUGGGCGGCUGAGGUGGGAGGAUCGCUUGAUUCCAAGAGUUUGAGACCAGCCUGAGCAGCAUAGCAAGACCUCAAGACCUCAUCUCUACAACGAAUUUUAUUAUUUAUUAUUAUUAUUUUGCCAGACAUGGUGGCCUGUAGUCUCAGCUACUCAGGAUGCUGAGGCAGGAGGAUUUCUGGAGCCCAGAAGUUCAAGGCUGCUGUAAGCCAUGGUUGCACUAUUGCACUUCUGCUUAGACAAUAGAAUGAGACCGUGUCUCAAAAUAAAUAAAUAAAUAAAUAACAACAAAAAAUAAAAACACAGAAAACAAAAACCACAAAAAAGCACACAAGAAACAGAUACUCAAAAAGAAAAAAAGCAAUGACUGGUAUUACAGGCAGUAAUUGGGAAACUUUUGAGUACCUUCAGAACAUCUUGGAUGGGCAAAUCUACUUCUUCACCUGUACUUUUUAUGUUUGUUUGUUUGUUCUGAGAUGGAAUCUUGCUCUGUCACCCAGGCUGGAGCACAGGCGCAUACCAAAGUUCUGGAAAAAGACUCAAGAGACAGCCCUCGAGGGACACUCAGAGCCCGGACUGGGAGGGAGGUUGAAUUUUAACCAAGUAUUCCUUUGUGCUGUCGGGCUCUUGGGCUGCCAGUGAAAGGUUAAUGUUUAGAGAUACAUUUAAUAUUAAUAUAUUAUCAUGUGGCCCCUGGGUUUAUGGCGACCUCUUCCUAGGAGACAGUGAAGUCUUUGCCGGUGACCUUCAGGAGGGGAGAUUGGGGGAAACGGGGAACGGGAGUCCAGGAGAGAGAUCUCACCCAAGGUACUUUCCCUGGAAAAUGAUCGAUCCACGCCACAAAGAUCAGGAUGCAAAAAAACAAAGCCAGAAAGCAAACCGCAUUCUAAGCCCUCUUUUACCACCGGGAGUGGCAGAGGCAGAGAAAAUCCGGGGCCAGGAAGGAUGAAGGGGUGUAGGCUGCUGAUGGGGUCGGGGGGCACGGGAUUCUACCGCAGAGCUCUGCAAGAGAGACAGACAGACACCCACUUCCUCCUGGUUUGGCAAAUCAGCCAGACCUCCCAUAUCCUCAGCCCACCUCGGUGCAUCCAGAAAGACCCCUGCCUGCGACUAGGGGCUGCUGGCCAAAUGCCAGGCCACUGCACAGCCUGCAGACCCUCCCCCAGGGAUCUUGUGCCAGCCCACCCGCACUCUGAAUUACAGCAGACAGGACUGAGGCUGAGGGGAGGAGGCUCGGAGCCAGGAGGCCUUUCCCUGGACCCAUGCGAUCCGGGUUGGGGGUGAAAGUGGGACAAGAGGCCUUACCUGGGGGGGCCAGUGUGCAGAGGGCCCUAGAGCUGAGAGGCCGCGGACGGAGUAACAGCUGGAUUCUGAGGACGUGGAAGAGGCCACACCACGCAGCAGAAGGAAGGAGGAAGUGUACCCGGAGCUGAAACCAGGCCCUUUCCAACCACCACACCUGUCAUCAGGUGACCCAGGGCAUCCUGUCCUGGAGCCCGGACAUCCUUUGAAAACAAAUCGUGGGGCUCCCCUAAUCCCCGUUGCAGAACCAAACAGGGUGAAGGGAUUUGGAGACUCAGGUCAUGCAUGACCUUGCCCCACCUGUGGCUUCAAUGCGAUGUGGCUUUGAGUACAAAGUGAAAAGGCUGACCUGAACCACCGGUUCCCAAAGCGGGUUCCACAGGGACACCAGGGGUUCCUUGGGAGGUGGGAAUGAGGAAGUGAGCAGAAUUUCUACCUUUCCGCUUUCCUUCCCACCAGAUCCCACCUUCUCACUCAGUUGGCCCAUCACCAAAUAUUUCCUGAGCACUAAGUGCCAGGCCAAGGGAUCUUGCAGGAAACCGGUGGGCAAGUCAGGCAACUCAUGAACCUUGGAAGGGAACUUUCUUCAAUUAAAAUUGCAGCCUUUUGAAUAAAAAAGGGAUGGAAGGGCAUUCCAGUUACAAGGAACAACCUUCGCAAAGGCCCUGAGGCAGCAGAAAUGCAGGCAUGUUGAGGAACUGCAGGAGGAGUCUCAGCAGGCUGGGUCUUCACCACUGGAGAGGAGGCAGAGCUGUUGCAGAGGCUGGGCCACGGUCAGCCAUAGGGUGUUCAGCACCAAGGCAAUAGGGAGCCAUGUGAGGCUUCAAGCAGAGGGGUUACCAUGUCGAUACAUGUUUUCAGAUGCUCUCUUCUGGUAGGCUGGGCACAGGUCCCAUAUUGGUGGCAGAAGCUUCCUCCGGUGGCCUCAACAAGCCCCUCUGUGUGCCUCAAAGCCACUUCCUUUCCCCACCCACUCCUGCAGGGCAGUGCAAAGCAGAAGUCCAGGGAGCUAUGCAAACUUCCUGGAAUGGAGAGAAAUGAUCUGGAAU
rnacentral:lncRNA from 1 species